CAGCCUGUAGCCUAGUGGCUAAGGUACAUGACUGGGACCCCUGAGGUUGGUGGUUCAAGUCCCAGUCCAGCCACA
rnacentral:tRNA from 1 species